AGUGGGGAAUCUUGCGCAAUGGGGGCAACCCUGACGCAGCCAUGCCGCGUGAACGAUGAAGGCCUUAGGGUUGUAAAGUUCUUUUGCCCGUGACGAUGAUGACGGUAACGGGAGAAUAAGCUCCGGCUAACUUCGUGCCAGCAGCCGCGGUAAUACGAAGGGGGCUAGCGUUGUUCGGAAUUACUGGGCGUAAAGCGCGCGCAGGCGGUUCGAUAAGUUGGGGGUGAAAUCCCCGGGCUCAACCCGGGAAUGGCCUUCAAGACUGUCGGGCUAGAGGACGAGAGAGGUGAGUGGAAUUCCCAGUGUAGAGGUGAAAUUCGUAGAUAUUGGGAAGAACACCGGUGGCGAAGGCGGCUCACUGGCUCGUUUCUGACGCUGAGGCGCGAAAGCGUGGGGAGCAAA
rnacentral:rRNA from 1 species